rnacentral:rRNA from 1 species
AUCUACGGCCAUACCACCCUAAACACAUCUGAUCACAUUUGAUCUCAGAAACUGAGCAGGGUUGGGCCUGGAUAGUAGUUGGAUGGAAGAAAGGAGCACCUGAAACAACAGUUGCUU